AUUAAUACAUUAAUUAUAACUGCUAUAGACCUUUAACCUUAUCUUCUUUUUUUCUUUUCCUUUUUUAAAUUAUUAUUGCUAUAGCCUUAUCCAUUUUCCCUUUAUUAACUCCUUUUCACAUUCAAAUUUCAAAUCAGGAAACUUUUACAGUCUCUAUUUAAAACCAGAACUUCCCCACCACUGCUUUCCAGAUCUAAAUCUCAAAUAUCUUUCCAAACAAAAUCCAGAAUCUUCUUCAAUGGCGGUUCGAACUCUAUACGGAUUGGUGUUCUUAGCAGCGUCAAGCACUUGCUUCAUCUUCCUCUACCUUCUUCUUCAACCUAUCUUCUACUUCACCGCCUAACACGGCGGCGGAGCUAUGAACCGGCCCCGAUUUGGACCGAUCGCAGAUGAGUCGACGAACCGGAAACAUUUUUACCUCCGUCGCCACCUUCUGCUUCCAAAUCCUUACACGGCGGCAACACGCGAUUCCGGCGGGUCGGUUCGUAGAGUAAUACAAGUAUGUUGAAUGUACAGCGUUUAUAUUUGGAAGAAAAAACAGAGAUAUUUGCCUUUUAUUUUGGAUUUUGCUUUUUAUUUUGAUGGAUCUGGAUUUGAUUUGUCUGAUCUCGUUUGUGUAAGUUGACCUGCGUGAAAAUAGCUUAGUUAUGUUGCUUAAUCAUUGAUUACCUCGUCUCAUAGCUUAAAUUACAAAUAUACUUGUUAGCUAGACUUAAUUACCUUCCAAUUUGAAUUCAGAAAAUUGGAAUAUCUUUGUACUAGCAACUGAUACAAAACAUUUUGAUAUGUUUGCAAGUUCUUAUCAAAAAUAUAUUCCAAUUUAUUUAUGUUUUUUUGUUUUGAAUAUGAUUAAUAAGAUUGAGAAUGAAACUGUAUGGAUUCUGAUCUGAAAUGGUAAUAGAACUUUUGAACAUUUCAGACUUUUUUCUGAUGUAAAAUUUUGGCCUGGUAUAUGUAUAGUUUGGAAACAGCCCUCUCGGAUAUGGGUAAGGCUCGUCUACAUAUUAUCCUCCCCAGACCCCACAUGGUGGGAGUAUAUUGGGUAGUUGUUGUUGUUAUAUGUAUAGUUUGGGUGAAAAUCGAACUUGUGAACCUGAUAUGGAUCCAUAUCCGUGGGCAUUGAUAGAAUCAGUUCAAAUUCAAGAUAUAAAAACGUCUAUGAUUAUCUUUAAUAUAUAAUCCAAUAUAAGUAUAUUUGUCUAAUUAGAACGAUUUUAUCGACCUUAUAUUUAGAGGCAACUCUUUUGAUUCAAACUUAAAUAUUUACGGUUUUUAAAUUAUGCGUUCAGAUAUAUUAUUUGUUACUUUUUAGUGAAUUUUUUUGUAUGUUUCGCAUAAAAAUAACUGUGUUCAAAUGAGUUCGAUGCUGCAACACCUCCACUUAUAAGUUAUAUAACAGUGGACCGCAUAAGAAACACUAGGCAAUGGCCCAUUUUCUCUAACAACGCUGUUGCGAGUGUGUUUACUUGUGUAUGUGUAGUAUGACAAUUUCAAUGGGGUUGAACUCCCGCAUAAACUUGUGCUUAGUCGGUUACAGCUUGUUUGGGUGGUUGUUACACAUAUUAAUAAAACUUUUUCCUCAAGAUCAAACUUAAGCAUUGUUGGAAUCUAUUUCUUUGAAGAUCAAAUAUCACACGACAAUUUGUGUCAUCAUCUAUUGGAUGAUUAUAUUAGUUUAGCCCUCAAAUCAAAGAAGACGGGAAUAAAAGCUUCGACAUUAAGUCUAAAGUGCUAUCAAACUUUUCUUGAUGACCGACUAAUGUACAAGGAGAUUGUCGUCCUUCCUCAUUCGAGAAAUAUGAUACUUUUGCUAUUGAACGAAAAAAGAAAAAGAUAAUUAUAUUAUAAUCAUAAUAAAGAGAAGAUCAAUGGGUACUCGCAGUUGUAUUCUCACACUUGUGAAGGAACUAAUUGCCUACAUAUGUUUCGUAAUUCCAAUUAUUUUCUUCACCCGAAAUAUGUUUUUUCUUUUUUUGAUAAUUAAGGAUUUCCAUUAAUCAUCAAUGAAAGAGCUUUACAAAAUCACAGUCGAGCUUUCAACUCAGCUGACUGUCUAGGGGUUAACAUACAUACUAUUUCUACUUUCCAACCUAUCUAGCACCACUAUAUGUGAAAGUGUUGUAAUAUUUGUCUAAUUUUUGGGGUACCUUUAACGUUACAAUUAUACACUAUGUCUCUUAGUAAGUCAGUGUUGCAUCGGAAUAUUUUGUUGAAGACUCUUGCAUUUCUUUCCAGCCAGAUAGCAUAUGCAAACUCAGCUGUGACCAAUUUGAAGAUGGCAGCUCGGGGU
rnacentral:lncRNA from 1 species